rnacentral:rRNA from 1 species
ACUGCUCAGUAACACGUGGACAACCUGCCCUUAGGACGGGGAUAAACCCGGGAAACUGGGUAUAAUACCCGAUAGGUCUCGAUUGCUGGAAUGCAUCGAGAUUUAAAGCUCCGGCGCCUAAGGAUGGGUCUGCGGCCUAUCAGGUAGUAGUGGGUGUAGCGUACCUACUAGCCUACGACGGGUACGGGUUGUGAGAGCAAGAGCCCGGAGAUGGAUUCUGAGACACGAAUCCAGGCCCUACGGGGUGCAGCAGGCGCGAAAACUUUACAAUGCUGGCAACAGCGAUAAGGGAACCUCGAGUGCCAGGUUACAAAUCUGGCUGUCGAGAUGCCUAAAAAGCAUUUCAUAGCAAGGGCCGGGCAAGACCGGUGCCAGCCGCCGCGGUAACACCGGCGGCUCGAGUGGUAACCGUUAUUAUUGGGUCUAAAGGGUCUGUAGCCGGCCGGAUAAGUCUCUUGAGAAAUCUGGCAGCUUAACUGUCAGGCUUUCAGGAGAUACUGUCUGGCUCGAGGCCGGGAGAGGUGAGAGGUACUUCAGGGGUAGGGGUGAAAUCUUGUAAUCCUUGAAGGACCACCAGUGGCGAAGGCGUCUCACCAGAACGGACCUGACGGCAAGGGACGAAAGCUAGGGGCACGAACCGGAUUAGAUACCCGGGUAGUCCUAGCCGUAAACGAUACUCGCUAGGUGUCGGCCACGGUGCGACCGUUGUCGGUGCCGUAGGGAAGCCGUGAAGCGAGCCACCUGGGAAGUACGGCCGCAAGGCUGAACUUAAAGGAAUUGGCGGGGGAGCAC